GCAUGCCCAAGUGCUACAGACCCCUCCUAGGAGGCCCACCAAGGGGCUCCCUGUGCAACCCCUGUCAUGUGCAAAGAAGAGACCAAUCCUGUGAGCUGGAUCAAGAGGCCCUCGCAUCUGGCCCCAAACUGCCAGGAUGACCACGUGGUAUUACUGGGGCAGCCUUUGGGCUUUGCACGGUGUUGCAAGACACAGACAACACUGUCUGCUAAAAUGGAAAACCAGAACAAGAUGCCAACUUCAGAAGAACGUGUGCAUGGAGACGAUAAGGAAAAGCCCCAAAGGGUUUCCCAAAAAAGUCCCCACGAACCAGAAGAACCGGCCAGUGGCCCGUGAAUCGGAAACUAUAUUUUGAGGUCAAUGCUGCUAAUAAGAGGCAGAAGACCGAUCAUGCAGUCAAGACUGUCCUGUUAGACCAUGAUUUCUGCGGAAGCAGCAAGACCCAGGCUUUGGGAUGCAGCCUGGAGACCCAUGCUCUUAGAGGCCACAGCUACUGCAGAAAGAGCAAAGGGGAGCAGUAAGGGCAAUGAGGGUGCUGCAGAACUGAAAGACUGUGAUUAUUAUCAGGUUUCUGACAUCCAGAGCAGCCAGGAAAUGCUGACUUCACUCUCCCGUGGUACUCCAGCAUAUUCUGAUUAUGGCAUACUCAUCAUGGAACCCCAAAGCAGACUGGAGCCAGGAUACGGAUAUACAGGGUAAGGACAAAACUUUACUGGGCGUUGGGGCGGGGUGUGUGUGAGUGUUUUUUCUUUUUAAAUAAGCGCACACAGCCACAAUAUUACAUAGUCUCAGAAGUUUUUUUUUAAUCUUAAUUUUAUAUCUUAAGGGACAGAAUGUAAAGAAAACUAGGAAUCUUAUAAAACCAUGCAAUAUUGUUUAAAAGGGGUGGUGGUGGAGGGGAAAAAAAACUUACCUUUACCCUUAAUAGGCCCGCUCCAUUCUGCAGCGGGGUUCUGUGGUAUGUGUGACAUCACCAAUCUAGUGUUUUCUAGUGAUGUCACAUGGAGAGGGAGAUGGUGAUCUGCAACUGCUUUGGACAUCAGAUACCUGAAGAAAAAAAGGUUAAUAACUUUUCAAUUGAAGAGAAAAAGCAAUUCUUGGCAUUACACCCAGCUAAUCAGAAGUUUUUAGACUUGCUAGCAAAAUGUAAAAAUGCUGAGGGAGGCCUGCAGAUCAUACAUGAAGGAGAUUAUGGUGAUGACCCAUCACACAUUCUACGAGAAAGAGGGUGAUGAAGUUGAAGGCUUAUCACUGUUUUGAUACCAUUUUGUAUAGUAUGCUGGCAUCUAUUUGCAUGUCCAUGUACUGGUUUAUGUUUCUCAAACCUAAUGUGGUAGCACUUCUCCCUCCAGAUGGCUGUCAUCAGAGGAAAAAGAGGUAUUUGACCCCCUCUAUUCCAUGGCUUAUGUACAUUACUUGAAUAUUUUCCUUUUUGGCAGAGUUCUAUUUCUUGAAUGACUGUGCUGAUAGCUUUCAAUUUUAAGGGGUGCUUUUUCCAUGGCUGUAUUGAAUGCUACCGUGAAAAUGACUGGAACCUUCUGGCAGGGGCCACCUUUGGGUAUUUGUAGUACCUGACAGUAAAAGAUGGACCACCUGAAGAGAGUGGGUUUUAACAUCAGAUCUCUGUGGGAGCAUGAGUGGGUUGCUUUGACAAAAUCAGAGGGGGAGUUUGCAGAGCUCUUAGCCAGGACCAAACUGCCCACACUGCUGAUCCCCAGAGGUGUACUUUUCAGCAGCAGGACAAAGCAGCCCCUGAUGAAAAGAUACAUUACUAUGAUUUUGCUAGCCUCUAUCCCUUCAUCAACCAAACAAAACAAUACUCUCUUGGGCACCCCAAAGUUAUUUCUGAGAAUUUUGAUGCCCUGACAACCUACUUCAGGACAGUCAAAGUAAAGGUGUCCCCACCUUGUGGGCUCUUUUUCCCUGUGCUUCCCAUGAGGGUAAACGGCAAGCUCGUUUCCCUUCUGCUGGAACCUGCCAGGCCCUCCCCCCCCAGCAAUGAGGGAAGAGCCCUUGUGGGCACCUGGUGUUCCCCAGAACUGACCAAGGCUCUGGAGAAGGGCUACAGGGUCCAUGAAAUCUCUGAGGUUUGGCAUCAAUAGCUGACCUUAGGUGUUAU